rnacentral:rRNA from 1 species
AUACGAAAGGUGCAAGCGUUGUUCGGAUUUACUGGGCGUAAAGAGAGUGUAGGUUGUUUAUUAAGUCGGAUGUGAAAUCCCGGGGCUCAACCUCGGAACUGCAUUCGAUACUGAUAGGCUAGAGUUUGGGAGGGGUAAGCGGAAUUCCGUGUGUAGCAGUGAAAUGCGUAGAUAUACGGAGGAACACCUGAGGCGCAGGCGGCUUACUGGACCAAUACUGACACUGAGACUCGAAAGCGUGGGUAGCAAACAGGAUUAGAAACCCUAGUAGUCC